GGUCAAUCCCACUGAAAAUACCAGUUCUCGUUCAAUCAACGAAGUUAAGCAGCGCCGAUUCCGACCAGUACUUAGAUGGGAGAUCGCUUGAGAACUCCAGGGACUGUA